UGGUUCAGGUCCUCUUUGUCCUCAGAG
rnacentral:piRNA from 1 species